rnacentral:lncRNA from 1 species
UCCGUCUCUAACAUAGGAGAUAGUCUUGUUUAUUGACACCAGUACUAUAAAUAACGAGUGAUCUCUGCAUAUUAAAAGGCAUCUCAAGGGAUGGAUGGUGUGAAGGACAGAAAAAUAUGUCUGUGGUACAGAUGGAGAAGUUGACAGAAACAUUCAUAAAACCACUCAGCUCUUGCAAAUGUGAACUCAGAAGGAUGAAUCUAUUGAAAUGAAAGAAGUAGGAUGUUCUGUAGCCCUUGAUAUAGUUUGCUGAAGAAAAUGUGAUGAUUCAAAGUGUAUUCUUAGAAAGAGGC